CCGCUCUCCAAGCGCCGCCUCCCAUUGGGCGGCUAAGCGCGACCGGGGGCGUGGCUCAUGCUAAUCGGGCAGCAGAACAACUGCCCGCUUGGAUGACUGCCAGUGCACUGAAGUGAAAUCCUGACAAGUCAGAGAAGUCGGGCUAUCUCAUGGAGCUUUCAGCUUGAUUCACUCCAACUGGAUUCAAUCUCCACUUGAUUCACUCCAACUGCAUUAUGGCUAAUAAUCAACUGAAAAGACGAAACCAACGGACUUGGAACACUGACAGUGGUUGGUGUGAGGGAAAUGGAAACUUGGGAGGAGUGAGAGUGAUACUGAAAAUCCUGGAAAAGGACAUGGCAGGCUGGGGGACACCCUGAAGAGAAGCACUCCGCCCUGAACCAUUUUGUUGCUUGUCCAAUGUGUUUCCCUUAAUAAGGAAAUCAACUUAAAUAUGGCUGUCCCAGUAUCUAUGAAGCUGAUUCGGAUGAGGGGGGUAAUGUGUUGGUAACAAAAUAUGACUGUUGCUGAGCCCUGCAUAUAAUUUAGGAAGUUAAGUAUGUCAAGCCCUGUAUAUAAUUUAGGAAGUCUAGCCAAUGGUAAAGUUCACUGAGAGAGAGAGAGAAAGAGAGACAGAUACGGGGACUUCCACAGCCCAAGGCAGAACAACUAAGUUCAACACCUAACAACAAAAUGGAAAACAUUUAAUGAGCCAGAAAGACACAACAAUGUGCAUAUGAUACUGACAGAUAAUUAACAAAUUGCAUUUAAUUUACGUUGUUGUUCAGCUACAGCUGGUAGAUGGGUGAUGGAGCUCAGACUAGAGGCCUGCAACCAAUGUUUCAGCUGGGAAAUACGCCUAAUGUCCAUCUGCGCGCACACACACACACACACACACACACACAGCAGGCCUCCAUGCAGUCUCUUUCAGCAAACUUCCACAUCCUUUCUCACACCAUCUUAACUCCCCUGCCUCCAUGCAGUCACUUUCAGCAAACUUCCACAUCCUUUCUUACACCAUCUUAACCACAACUCCAUUUCCCUCUCUCUCUCCCUCCUGCUCAUUAUCCUGUGAUAAAUAGAUUCUUCUAAAAACUGGCCAUGACUAGAAAGCAUGGCAUUCCGAUUUGUCACUUUCAAGACACUUGCUGAGCUCAUCUUGAGGCUUGCAGCAUCUCUACAACAUACUUACACAGGAAUCUUGACCACCACCGAAGGGGAUCAAAGUAUUAUUUUUGAAUAGAUUCUUAUAAAGCA